rnacentral:lncRNA from 1 species
GGGGUCUUACAGUAUAUGUGUUGUCGUAUUUUGUACGACAAUUCAAUUGUUGUAAUAAGAUAGUUCACGUCAGAAGUGUUGUAUUUAUGACAAUCUAAAAUAUAUUGUGUAGACCUAUUUUAGGGGCGUCACAAAUCUCCUCCCUCUGAUUCAAGGAUAAUUAAGAAAAGUUGAGAAUAAAAAGCCAUCUCCAUUCUAAACAAACAAACAAACAAACCCACAAAGCAAUAAAGUCCCCAAUCAAGUUGAAAAAACCAUCAGAACCAUCACCAACUGAAAAUAAGAAUUCCAAAUCUCGUCAUGCACAAUAAUAAACAUUAACUAAAACAUAAAACCCAAUUUGAACAAGCACACGGAUCGACAGAAAGCAACGACCCAUUCGCGCAAAGCAGGACCUCAGAUCCAACCUACUAAAAACAAAUCAGAUCCUAGAAAGUCGAACCAAGAUUCCGGCGAGACCACAACACCAUUCAAAACUUUAUUUCGCUUUCUCGAUACCAGACGAUUGUAUGUUAGACCAAUUUUAGCCUUACUGUAUUAUGAGGUUUCACAGGAAAAAAAUCAGUGAUGCCGGAGUCGUAUACCAGAAACAAAGUCUCCAUCGUCGUUCCCGAUAGCUCGGGCAGUCAUAUUGGAAGUUGGAACUCCAUACAUGUUUACAUUUUCAUCAAUGGCGUUCAUAAUUGCUCUAUAGAUUCAAUAAUCACAUAAAUUAAAAUUAUUCUACAUAAAAUUAAAGGAGGAGAUUAUAGAGAAAUCAAGAAAGGAAUAAAUGGAGGAGAGAGACUUGAGA